UUCAUUUGUAUUCAAACUUCUUUUUGCAGUAAACUAAACAACUGUACUAAGUAAUGCUAAGCCAAAAUCUUAAAAGGUCUGUUGGGGAGCUCAAGUGGUCCUUCCGCGAAACAUGCACAACGAAAAUAGAGAGGGAAGCUGUCGACACCCGUCCAACAGCAGACCAGUACGAACAUUAGGGGUUGAUGAAGAAACCAAACAGACCGUCUCUGCUGAAUCGGAGUGAAGAACAACAGGCGAGGUGCAUUGCAAAUGUAACAUAUAUGUAUUACCAACAUAAUUUUGAAACAGUGCUAAAAAUGAAAAGAGGGUCGGCAAUGGGAAAACUUUACUCAAUUAAUUUUGUUACUAUGUGAUAAUUAAGAAAUGAAAUAACAACGUAACUUAAAGGUAAAAAUUAUAAAAAAAAAAAAAAAAAGAGAUUGAGCCGUCCAGCCAAUAUCACUCCCCACCAUUACCCUUGUCGAUCCCUCACCCUUCAAAACCCAUAAUCAACCACAACUUCUUCUUCUUUUUCUUCUUCUGAAAUCAAAGUCCACAGCCAUGUUCUUCCACAAGCUCAUCAACACCAUCCAGUCUCCCAUGAUUACAACAGUCUGCAAAGAUAAAAUAAGUGAGGAAAGUCAUGGAUUCAAAUUCCUAAAAGUGAUUAGGAAGAGGAGGGGUAGGCGGAUUAAGUUAAUGAAUAAUAUAGAAACUAUUCUGAACAUGGUGUAACGGUUCAUAACAUGGUGUCAAAGUCUUCAAAGAACUUAGUGGUCUUCGUUUUGAAUCCUGGUAGCCCCCAAUCCGUGUGUACAUGACUUACCAAAACUGUGCAAACCUCAUUUCUCACGAGAGCUUCUUUUACACGCCCCACAACUCGAGAAUUAUCGAGAUGUAACGGUUCAUUUAGUUUACUCAAAAAAUCACAUAAAUUUGAGAAGAUGGAAAAAUGGCAAGUGAAUGACUAAUGUUUUGGUAUAGUUAAUUUAGUUCACCUAACAAUUGCUUCUCUGUAGAGGGUUGUUUGUUUUUUAUAUUGUCGUGUAGCCAUAAUGAAAGUGAAGGAAAGGUUGUGAAGCAAAGCAAAGCAAUGAAUACUGGAACUAGACAGUUUGAGAGAGUGGAAAAGAUUGAAGGAAAUGAAAGGACAGUUUCCAGACUUGGCCAUUUGUCCUAUCUCAUCCCAUUUCCACGAUGCAUUAUUGUGUCACUAGCUAUCUCAAUCACUUAAUAAAUUUCAUGAAUAGUUCAUUAUAUUAUUUUCGUCCAAGUAAAAUACUAAUCUAUGAUGUAGAAAGAAACAGUAGAGCUAUGGCACUAUUGAGUCACUGAUUGAGUCAAACUAAGCCGUAAAGUUUGUCGAGACAGCCACCAAAAACGAACACACAAUACUCCUCAUACCCCUCACUACAAUAAUUCACAUGGCUAACUGUGGUUUUUUUCUAAUUUAACAGCGGAUAAACCGCUGGAUCAUAUUCUGAAGUUAGGUUACAAGAAUUCACAUAGCUAACAAUGAAUCCCUUAACGUUGAAAAUCCGAGGUUACAUGUAUGAGAAUUGAUUUGUGCAGUUAGGUUUCUGAAUUCUUGCAGUGCCUCCCCCCUAACAUUCAGUUAUAUAUCAAAUCUUUAGGUCCAGUUGCUCUUUGCACAGCAGAUAUCCAACUACACUUUAAAUCACAGUACAAUUUGUAGAUCUGCUACUAUUUCACAAACAUUCAAUUUUUCACUCUAGCUGAGGGGUAAAAAAUAGUACCCCGGGUUUCAUGGAGAAACUGUUAGUCUGUAAAUGUUUCUGCCCUGUGCGUUUCUCUGCUAAAAAUAUCAAUGAAAGCUUUCUUUCUAUCUAUUUAUUGUGCCAAACCAAACACACUUCAAUUUUAGGGCAAUCCAAAACCUGGGUUCAAUUGGGUUUUCAUCAAAGUUGAAAACUUUUGUCAGUUUUCCAAAUCUAAUAUCAUAAACAAUUGAUUUUGGAUCAUUACUAGCAAUAAAGUCUUCACAUUUCUAAGUUUAUAUUGUCUAAGAAACUCCAUUUGAAAUAUGUUAAUGUACCUCUGUUAGAGAUGAGCAAAUGUGUCAGAAUACCCCUCCAAAAUUUUCGAUAACAUAAAUUUGAUGAUGGAAAAAGUGACAACACUACCCUUCUCCCAGAAGUAGGACAGAGAUUUCAGAUUUUGCAUGCAUAUGAUAUAAGCAACAACAUAGGAAUCCGGGAUGGUCGGGAUCGAUUGUAAGACUGUUCGUUUGGACACGUGUACGGUGAUAAGGGUAGGUUUGAAAAUCUAAGAGGGUAGAAAAAAAGACUAAAGAACAGCAAGAGACAGAAUGUCUGAGGAAAAAGUCAGGUUCUUUGUUCAGAAGAAAUUGGACCCAAUUUUCCUCUUUCUUGAAAGGAAAAAGAGAAAAGGAGAAGUGAAGUGGUACCUCAAGGAGGAAAGUUGGCCAGCUCUUAAACCAAGAUGACAACACAAAGAGAUGAUCAAUGAUGGUGAGCCUUUGAUGAUCAAACGGCUCUCAUUAAUUAGCACUGUUCUGACAAAAUUCAAAGUGGGGAAGAAACAAGGAUUAGCAAUAAAUAACAACAAUGUUUGAACAAAACCAAUAUUAUGUUACAAUUUGUCAAAGUGAUGCCAGUCUCUACAGUUCCAUCUGUUGUAAGAUUUCUGGAGAAUAACUAUACUAACAAGAACCCAAAUGGAAUUAGCUAUUAAGGACCAAAACCCAGAACCCAGAUCUCAGAAUGCCUUGUGAACGUUGAGGUUUUGAAGGAAUGGGAAUGAGAAGAGGAGGGAAGAAAAUUGUGGAGAUUACUUACUAGCUUGCUUGCACGGUACAGUAUAAAUUGGUGGAAAUGGUGGAGGUAGAACAGUAUUCCCUCUGUCUUGUUGCAGACUGAAUUCUUGAAACCUUCAAACUUUGAGCUACUUUGAGAAACUUGGAGACAGAGAAGUGGAUGAAGAAGAGCUGAGAAGAGCAUUUGAAACAGAGAAAUGGAGAGUGAAUGAGAGAGAAAGAUGUGGGGGGUAUGUUUUAUGCUAUGGUCUUAAAGUAAGAACAGAGGACUAUAUAAUAAUAAUAAAACAUAGAUAAUGUUUG
rnacentral:lncRNA from 1 species